rnacentral:tRNA from 1 species
GGGGAUUUAGCUCAGUGGUAGAGCGCUUGCCUAGGAAGCGCAAGGCCCUGGGUUCGAACCCCAGCUCUG